AGUCUCUUGGCUGUUGUGAGAAGAAGAAAGAGUCAGUGCUUGGAGGAGCUGCCUAUGGGUAACAUCAAGGAGGUAUGAAACUCUUGCACUAAGGAGACAACAAUAUGGAACCUUUGCAGUAUAAUGACAACAUCUACGUAAGCAGAGUUUAAAAAUGCAUUUGCAAACUCUGUGUAGGCUUGCAUGGAGCUCUGCAGGUGGGUGACUGACUCAGGGACACUGCAGCUCUGGAGGCUGCACAGGGCUUACAACAGACCCCACUGCAAUUCUCAGUGCUCAUCUCCAAAACAAGUUCUUGGUAGAGGACCUGCACCCAAGAACACACUGAGAGAGACAGAACUGAAGGGCACCUUCCACACAGAAACCUGGAGCGAGCAGGAGAGUGCAGGUUCAUGAACAUCCUGCUCUCCUCGUGGGGUGUAUGUACACAGCUUGGCAAAGGAAAGGAAACAAGGAGCAAACCAAGAGGCAGGUCUGAGACUGGCUCAUUACAUUGAAGAAUAGAAGGGAACAGGCUGGUUGGAUCCCAUGACAAUCCCCCAGUCCCCCACAGUGAGCACAUUAGCUUCUGUUUGGCUGAGAUAUCUGUACCCUUCUCCACCCAGAGACCUCAAGAGAAAGGGACAUCAUCAUUUCCCUUUGCAGUUCCUUAAAAUAAACAGUAGCCAGCUCAGUGGAGAAGCAGAAGCAGACUGGGAGCAGCACACACCUGCUUUUCCUGGAGGCUGAAAGGCUGCCCUUGCCCAUCCCAUCAGGACCUCAGAGCUGGUGUCUGUCCAGUUAACAACACCUUGAGAAAACCUUUUCUCUUCCAUUGCCUCUGCAAUUCCACAGCAUAACCUGCUCUAGAUGUGAGCUGGAGUCCAUCACUAGAGUUAGAGAAAGCAGGAUGGACACUGGAGGGUGAAAUGCCAAUUUCAGAGCUUUCUGAGCCCCAUGGAGAGCCCAGGCACCGGGGCUGCUCUUCCCUCGUGCCCCUCCUUGCUGGGCACAGGAGGAGCUCAGGCUGCUCUCUGCAGAUGCAGCAGCAGCACUCUCCCAAGCAGCUGAACACAUCCAGCACACAGAUGUCUGCUUUGGUAUUAAUAUCAUUUCAGAUGUACAUUAGAGGGGCAGAUUUACAGUCUGGGACUACAUCCAAAUUGUCAUUUAAGGCAGUGAGAUAAUCAGUAAGAAUUUCUUCCCUUUUAUUGGUGCUCAUUCUUCCUCCGGCAAGGAGGAAGCAAGGAAAACAAAGAAAAUUUAAA